GGCAGUGUAGCCAAGUGGUUACGGCGUCACGUUUAGGUACCUUUGUGUUUCCGAUCCGUGAUGGGUUUCCCGCGCGAGUUCGAAUCUCGUCACUGUCA
rfam:Postia placenta Mad-698-R POSPLscaffold_72_Cont3807, whole genome shotgun sequence.